rnacentral:lncRNA from 1 species
UGUGGAGCUAGGGCAAGAAGAAAAGCUAGAGAUUCGAGAUCUUCGUCGAGUUUUCUUCGAAUCCAGGUAUGAGAGUAGGUUCCAUAGUCGUGGGUGACUCGAGGAAGGGGAGAAUGUCGAUUUCUCCUUACCCGAACUUCCUCCACCCCAUUUUCGUUUUGGUUUGGGAGAGUUAAUCUUCGAGAAAGUGAAACCCAAUGUUAAUAACAUGUUCAAUAUACUUCUACCAUGUAGUGUGAGCGAAAUCAUGGGUUAAAUAAUGAGAAUUUGUAUGUUUUGAGUGAUUAUAUGUGUUCUUGAGCUUUUAGACUCAUAAAUGUUAAAUCCUUGCUUUUUUCGAUGUUAAUGAUGUGGAUCGGAGAAUCAAUCCGUCCUUUUGUGCUUAUAUAUGUGUUAUAUACAUGAAAACAAACAUAUUUGGGGUUUAUAACAUGAAAAAUGGGAUUUUGGGUGAUUUUGAGUGGAAAAUCAUUUUCUGGAAACUCAAGAACAGAUGUUCUUCUGGUGUGGCUCGCUACCUGCUCGCUACAGCGAACGUGUUCGCCAGAUGCUCGCCAACUGCUCGCCAGUUGAGGUUUUGUGUCUGUUUGCGUUCGCUACCUGCUCGCUACAGCGAACGUGUUCGCCAGCUGCUCGCCAGAUGCUCGCUACAGCGAACGUGUUCGCCAGAUGCUCGCCAACUGCUCGCCAGUUGAGGUUUUGUGUCUGUUUGCGUUCGCUACCUGCUCACUACAGCGAACGUGUUCGCCAGCUGCUCGCCAGAUGCUCGCUACAGCGAACAGCUCUGUAACAGGAUUAUUUUGCUGAUGUUUUGUUAGUGGAAUUAUGCACUUAUAACAUGUAAUUGUGGUAUUCUAACAUACAAUUAGGUGCUUUUAGCUAUGAUUAAUUGUAUGAUGAUGAGAUAUGAUAAAGGAAGUGAUUAAUGAAGAAUAUUAGGAUAAUUGUUUAUUCUAAUAAUGAAGUAUGUUGGAUAGUGUUCCACAUAGUAAAGGAAGAGCUUUAUGCUAUUAAUUGUGAGUUGAUUCAUGAAACAUAUACAUGCAUUCAUGAAUUAAAUAGGAUAUUGGUUAUUCCAAUAAAGAAGUAUAUCGGAUUAUAUUUAUCCGAUAAAGAAGGAUANNNNNNNNNNNNNNNNNNNNNNNNNNNUAAUAAAGAAGAUGGUACCACAUGCAUUAGAAAUGUCUAGGGUGACAUUCAUGAAGUUGAAGCAUUAGAGUUGCAUUAGGCUAUGUGUGCAUUUGAUGAUAAAUGAUAUGUGACACAUAUUUGGCUAUUGUGGUAUUUGCUAAUUGAUACUUGAUAGUUGGUAUUCGAUUAUGUGUUUUUGAGAACUUCUAAUUGGAUUAUAGAUGUGAAUAUAUGUAUAUGUAUAUGUAUAUGUAUAAUUGUGAGGCAUGCUUAUGUUGUUGAAGUAGUGUUUAAGUAUCGAUUUACUUGCACUUGUAUUUUGAUUAUGUGAUCUAACUCUCAUGCUUUGUGUUAUGUGCUGGACCGUUGGGGGUUCAGGUUCUCAGGUUGAGGAUCCCGAUCAGAGUUAGAGGGCGUUGCUCGUACUUGGUGUAGCACACUUUUUGGUGAGGAGUUAGCGUAGACUACUCCUUAGAUAUAUGUUAUAUAUCUUUUUGAUGGGUUGUAUAGUAUUGCUCUGAUUAGGUUUUACCGGGUCGGGUUAUUCGUUUGGAUUGUAUUAAGCCCGUGAUGGCAUAUUUAACUUUGUUAUUCCUAUCUUUUGAAUUGUAAACAUAAUAUCCUUUGUUGAUAUGGCCUAGAGCCUAGGGAUAUUGUGUGAACAAUUAUGAUCAUUGUAUGAUAUACAUUAUGAUAAUUAUUCGUUUUUAAUUCCGC